rnacentral:rRNA from 1 species
GGAGUUAGCCGGUGCUUCUUCUGUGAGUGAUGUCCUUCCUGCCGGCUAUUAACCCGCAGGCCUUCUUCCUCACUGAAAGUGCUUUACAACCCGAAGGCCUUCUUCACACACGCGGCAUGGCUGGAUCAGGGUUGCCCCCAUUGUCCAAUAUUCCCCACUGCUGCCUCCCGUAGGAGUCUGGGCCGUGUCUCAGUCCCAGUGUGGCUGAUCAUCCUCUCAGACCAGCUACGGAUCGUCGCCUUGGUGAGCCGUUACCUCACCAACCAGCUAAUCCGACAUAGGCUCAUCCGAUAGCGCGAGGACCGAAGGUCCCCCGCUUUCCCCCGUAGGGCGUAUGCGGUAUUAGCCUGGGUUUCCCCAGGUUAUCCCCCACUACCGGGCAGAUUCCUAUGCAUUACUCACCCGUCCGCCGCUCGCCACCAGGGAGCAAGCUCCCCGUGCUGCCGCUCGACUUGCAUGUGUUAGGCCUGCCGCCAGCGUUCAAUCUGAGCCAUAAUCAAACUCUGA